UACAGAGGUCUCAAGCGUUGUUCGGAAUCACUGGGCGUAAAGGGUGCGUAGGCGGAACGCCAAGUCAGAAUGUGGAAAGACCGGGGCUCAACCCCGGAACGGCAUCCGAUACUGGCGAUCUAGAGGGCUCGAGGGGAGUGUGGAAUUCACGGUGUAGCAGUGAAAUGCGUAGAUAUCGUGAGGAACACCAGUGGCGAAGGCGACACUCUGGAGAGCAACUGACGCUGAGGCACGAAGGCCAGGGGAGCGAACGGG
rnacentral:rRNA from 1 species